GAUCGUGUAGCUCAUUGGUAGAGCGCAGGGCAUGUCACCCUGGGAAACUGGUUCGAUUCCAGUCAUGAUCA